CUGUUAAGAGCUGGCCGGCUAGUUUGUUAGUUCUCUUGUAAAGCAAGCGAUUGAACGAUCCUGAUUGAUUGGACGGCUAGAUCACGCCGUAGGGAUAUGGGGUACUGUUUAGUCACCAUCCAUCUAAUCUUAGCAUGCAAAAAAAGAAAACAGAAGAAGAUAACUUUUGUUAGCAGCAAAUGGUAUCUUCCUCUUCUUCAAUUGUCAUUGUCAGAAUACAAAAUACCACCCAUUGCGUCAUCUCACAAACCACGCAGUGUUACGAUUUUGUCAGCUUGGGCUCUACCUUGACGAAGGAAGGAUGGUCUUGUCAGAUACUAUACAAAUAGUGUACCAAGCGUGAUCUCACAAACCAACCAGUGUGCGAUUUUGCGAGCUUGAGCUAUAUCUGGAACUAGAAGAAAGACCCAUACAUGGUCUUGUCAGAUACUACACAAAAGUCCUAUGCGUUAUCAUCUAGAAUUCCAAACUAGUAGAGAUGUAGAGUAACACAUAAAGCAGUGUUUAAGCUUUUGAUCUAUAUGCUUUCUUACUUCUCAUAUUAUAAAAAUGUACCUCUACCAUGACAUCCACAACACGAGGCGAAUUUACUGAUUCUAUGGGCGAGAAGAGGGUGAUUUGAAAAAAAAAAAAAAGAAUCUGCUAUUACCGGAUCUUAAUUUACUUG
rnacentral:misc_RNA from 1 species